rnacentral:tRNA from 3 species
GCCGGAGUAGCUCAGUUGGUAGAGCAAUGCUUUCGUAAAGCAGAGGUCACGAGUUCAAGUCUCGUCUCCGGCU